CGUUCUAUGGCUGAAUUGGUAAAGGCAUCACCGAUCACAGGCGACGUUACGGGUUCGAGUCCCGCUGGAACGA
rfam:Operophtera brumata OBRT01_Sc12058, whole genome shotgun sequence.